UUCUUUUGGGUCUGUCAUUGUAUGUUGGAACCAGGACACCUCAAUUCUCAUGGGUUCACUUCUUCAGCAUUCCUUAUUAUGGCUUUAUGGCUUUGCAGCAUAAUGAGUUUUUGGGAAGAAACUUCUGUCCAACACUCAAUAUAACAAACGGCAAUAACUGUCCUGGUUAUGUAAUAUGUUCUGGUGAAGAAUUCUUGUUAAUGCAGGAUAUGGAUCUCUCACCUUGGGGCUUAUGGAGGAAUCAUGUGGCUUU